UCACUUUUCAGAGGUUCCAAGACUCCGUAAAGAGAUAUCAACAAUCUGACUUCAUAUCCUGCUCCGAACAAAUUAUAUGAGUUUACAAUCAAAAAUAGAACCGGCUCCUAUUAAAAUUGAAAGAGAUAUUGCAAAAUGUCUUACUUGUCACGGGUUCUUUUAAUUAAUUAAUAGUUUUUAAAAAUCAUUAACAACCCUAAUUAAGAUUCAUAGAAUAUAAGAUGUACAAAUUGUCUUCUAAGAAGAUAGACAUUUCAAGAAGAAAAUUAAGGAAAAUAUUAGCAUCUGAUUGUGAUAUUUUCUAAAUCAAAUAUAAUUACUACUUUUCGCCCCUGGACACUUAUCAUUCUAGUUUUAAUUAAACAGAAUUUUAUUUAGUAUGUAUUUCAUGGAGUGGUUAAUCUACAAAUUAAAACGGUUUGAUUUGAAAGACAUCAGAGAAAAUGUAGAGAGACGAAUAUUGAAUGCUCUAAUGAACUUUAAUAAAACAGGAAGUAACUAAACACCUGUAUGAAGAUUGUAUCAAUAAAUUGUUUCUUUAUGUGC